rnacentral:rRNA from 1 species
UUCGAAGCAACGCGAAGAACCUUACCUAGACUUGACAUCCCCUGCAUUACUCUUAAUAGAGGAAGUCCUUCGGGACAGGGUGACAGGUGGUGCAUGGUUGUCGUCAGCUCGUGUCGUGAGAUGUUGGGUUAAGUCCCGCAACGAGCGCAACCCUUAUCAUUAGUUGCUACCAUUAAGUUGAGCACUCUAGUGAGACUGCCCGGGUUAACCGGGAGGAAGGUGGGGAUGACGUCAAAUCAUCAUGCCCCUUAUGUCUAGGGCUACACACGUGCUACAAUGGUAGGUACAAAGAGAUGCAAGACCGUGAGGUGGAGCCAAACUCAAAAACCUAUCCCAGUUCGGAUUGUAGGCUGCAACUCGACUGCAUGAAGCCCGAAUUGCUAGAAAACGCCAAUUAGCCUGUCGCUUUG